UUACACCCUUAAUUCCUCCGUUAGCUCCUCGUAUUUUUCUCCACGAUAUCGAAAUAAAAUCCUAAGAUUUAAUUAAGCAGUGAUUAAAUUUUCACAGAUUAUUCCAGGAAUUAAAUAAAUAAUUCCCUCGAGGAAUUAAAUUAUCAGUCCAAGGAUUUAUUUUAACUGACCCAAUUUAAUUUAAGGGGUGAUGAGCCCGAAAGAAGUAGGCCAAAAUCACAUUCCUCAAAAUAAAAAAAGAUAGGGAGGCCCAAGAAAAAUGGCCCACCUAGCAAUACUUCCUUCUUAAUAAACACACGGUGCCUCCCACUCCACUUUAACAAUCAUCAAUAUAUUAAGAAAGAUAAUUAAUCUAUACUAAUAAUUUUAGGUACAAAUUAAAAUCUUAUGAGGCAGUUUCAUGUGUACUAUAAACGUAAUUCCCAUAAUCGAAUAGUUAAGUUUAUUAAAAUAUUGAUUUUAACCAUUACUACUAAUAAAAACAAGAAAGCAACUGACCCCAUUCUCAGCUGCUAUUCUUCUCUCUCUUUCUCACCUUUCUUCCCCAAAACUCCUCUCUACUGUAAAUCUCAAACAAAGAACACACCCAAAUCCCUCCAUUUCACCAACAAUCAAAAUGAAGAUUUCACAGACACACACACAAAUUCAUUUCUCUCUCUCUCUCAUUUUUUUCUCACAAAAUUUUAAAUUCAACCAAACUUCCAAAACGCCGCUGCGGGUCGCUGCCGCAGCUGUCGACCCCAAAAUCCGGCGUAGCACCGCGCUACUGUUGAAGCCACCGCAGCCGUCGUCGCUGCUCCGGCAGCCCCGAUUCCACCCCGAAACAGCCCCGUUUUCCCAUUAAAGAUUUCAUAAGAUGCACAAGAAUGGAAUAGGAAUGGGGUGUAAGAAGUGUAUACCUUUGUUGCCAAGAGUUGCAGGAAAACAAUUUGAGGGACUCUCGGCUCUCACUUACUCUAACUAUUUCCUUUCAACUGAAAUUUCAAGAAUUUAUGUUAUGGAAUCAAAAUAUGGAGGUUCCUAUUCAUGUGAUUGAAGAAAAAUUACCUUUGUGGAAGAAAGAAAAAUACGGCAGAAUGGAUGUUGAAUUCACAGGGUGCCUCUUCUUUUUCUUUUGUUUUGGAGGAACGAGGAAACUGCAUUGUGCAGUUGAAGCAAAUAUACGGAGUUGACAUAUUUUGGUUGGAGGUUUUUCAGGGAUGUGGAGAUGUUGGUGAAACCGUGUGAUAUUGGAGGUGAAAAGAUUUGAAGUAAAAUUGGGCUGCAAAAUAGAAUUAGGAAGAAUUGGUUUUGGGCUUCAAAAAUAACUUCAUUUAAUUUUAACAAUUGGGCUAGAUAUGGUAGCCCAAUUAUUGGAUUUAAUUUCACAUACUUGUAAACAAAAUUUCUAUUUUUCCCAUUAGCGAUACUCAUCGCACACAUCGAUUUCUUAACCAACACAAUUCGACUAAUUUCUAGCUCUCAUAACAAAUUAUCAAUUAUUCAAAAACAUCUCAUUUCACCCAUAUCAAUUGCUCAAAGCAGCAACGUCACAUAUUCAACAAAGUUGACACAGUCAAAAUUCCAAUUCAAAAUUAGGUCACGAAAAUUAUCGAACAACAAUUCCACUCGACAAUUAAUCCAUGGACUUUCGCGACAUUAAAAGCAUUAAAUGCAAGUACUUUAGAGUUCAAAAAUUAGGGUUCAAAAAAAGUGGGGCGUUACACAGCACCUCCUUCCUCCCUUCUCCGGCGAAGUCGCCGAUUGAGGGGAAAGGCGUCGCCUUUCUUCCUCCGGCUCUCUCAAUUUCGAAUCUGUAAAAAUUUUUCUAGAUCGAGGAAUCGGGAAGCAGCGCCUCCCUCCGUCCUCGUCUCCGGCUGUUCGACGAGCAGACCGCCGCUAUCACUCGCCGUCCGCCGCUCCUCUGCGUCGCCGGCUCUCCGUCACUGCUGCCAGCGCCCUGCAUCAGCUCUCGGCGUCUAGCCUUCCGCCGAGCUCUCCCUCCGGCAAGCAGCGCUGCUGCAUGCGCUCUCCCCUGCUCCCUCCGAUGAGUUCUCCGUCGUCAAACGCUCGUCGCCGGAAGGCCUAACAGCUAAGUCAUCCUCCCCUCUUUCCCUUACUCGAUUUCUUUGAGUUGUGGCAGUAGCUAUUACUUGGAAUUGGGAGUGUAAUUGAGUUUUAUGAAGGGUCCUGUUAUUUGAAUCCUAAUUCUCGACACUUCACCGAAAUGCGUUCUUACUUUUGUGAUUUUGCUACUGAGCUUCAUAAAGAAGGCAGCCUAUGCUUAUUUCUGUUCCAAGUUAUGUGAUGUAAAAGCUCUAAGCUCUUGGGCUUUAAACAUGAUUCUCUAUAAUUGCUACUGUUGUGGAUAUUCUAUUGUGCUUCUAAGGUUCUAAGUUAUUGACUAUCUAUUGUGGUUGAUCUAUAUGAUGCAAAAUAUGGUGUUGGGGUGUUGAGGUAUUUACCUCUCGGUUGGUGAAUCCUUGUUGUUUUCUUGCUGCCAGCUCCUCUCCUCGCUCCCCUCUCCGCUCCCUGCUGCAAUUCCUUACGUUGAGGGAAAUUUGUGGUGACCGAAUGAUGGGGAGAGAGGGUGGUGGGAGGCAGUAUAUAGCUUUCAUUCUUGGCAUCUUGUGCCUGAAAUCUGUCUCCUAUUUUGGGCUGUAAGGUUGGCCCCUUUUCCAGUUUGUAAGUAGGCUUCCCAUGCCCAUUUGGUGUAUAUUUUGGCAUCCUAGAUUGGCUGAUCUCAUGGCCAUUUGUGGAUGUAUGUGCCCCUUGCAGUAGUUCUCCUCUAAUGGUUUAUGACUAAGCACAGUUUCUUUUGGCUCUUUAUCUUCAUCCCUUUUUUGGAAAGAUUUGAGAGAUCAUGCUCCUUGUCCUUUCUUGGUCUUUGGCAGAGGAGAUGCUAUGUUGUACCAUUUACUCUACUACUUUGGUGAAAGCUUAGGGUCAUAGCCCUUUUUAUUGACAACUUUUAAAUCCCAAUUUGUGUUAACCUUGCAGGAUUUCUUUGGUGUGAUGUGGCUGCCAACUUGGAACCUUGUGGGAGCAUUUUGAGAGAGAGAGAGUGUAGGGAAAGGGAAAGAGAUUCUCCUCUUGAAACUCUUUGGCUUCAUCACUAAAAUAGCUAGCUUCCAAAACUUGUUUAUUAGUGUUGGUAGGAUGAAAGGUGUAGUAUAUGUGUGUUGUCCCUUUCACACAUGUAAGCAUGUAUUAUUUGUAUCUUCAUAUCUUGAAUUUUUGUUUACUCAAGGUGUAACCACAUUUCUCUAAUAAAAGUAUCUCCAUCGUGACGGAGAAGAUAGGCAUUGAAGCUAA